AAAUAAAAUAAAAAAUAAAAUUAACAAUAUAAUAAAAUAAUAAUUAAAAAUUAAUAAUACAAUAAAAUAAAACUUAACAAAAUAAAAAUGGAUAAAACUAAAAAUUAUCAAUACAAUUCAAAUCAAUAAAAUAACUUGAAAUUAAAAAUACAAAAAAGGAAACAAUAAAAAAUUAAUGAAAUGACGAAAAUUAGCAAUACAAUAAAAAUUAAUGAAAUAAAUAAAAAUUAACGAUACACUAAAAAUGAUUAAAAUAAAUAAAAAUUGUUAAUACAAUAAAAGUUAAUGAAAUAAUGAAAGUUAACAAUACAAUAAAAAUUAUUAAAAGCAAUAAAAAUUUACAAUACCAUAAAAAUUAUUAAAAUAAAUAAAAUUAUCAAUACAAUAAAAUCAAAUAAAAAAAUAAAAUUAACCAGAUAAUAAAAUAAAUUAAAAAAUUAGAAAUUAUUGAUACAAUACAAAUAAAUAAAACUUCAUGAAAUAAAAAUGAAUUAAAUAAAAAAAUUGCAAAUACAAUACAAAUAAAUAAAAUGAUUAGAAAUUAACAAUACAAUAAAAAUGAAUGAAACAAAUAAAAAUUAACAAUGCACUAAAAAUGAUUAAAAUGAAAAACAUUGACAAUACAAUAAAAAUGAAUGAAACAAAUAAAAAUUAACAAUGCACUAAAAAUGAUUAAAAUAAAAAAAUUGACAAUACAAAAAAAUGACUAAAAUAAAUGAAACUACCAAAACAAUAACAAAUAAAUGUAAUAAUUAGAAAUUAAUAAUACAAUAAAAAAUAAAACGUAAUAAAAUAUAAAUGAAUAAAAUAAAAAUUUAGAAUUACAAUAAAAAUGAAUAAAAGAAUUAGAAAUUAACAAUACAAUAAAAAUGACAAAAAUAAAACUGAUUACAUUAGAAAUUAAUAAAAUAGAAAAAAUUGACAAUACAAUAAAAAUGACUAAAUAAAAUAAAAAAUAAAAUUAACAAUAUAAUAAAAUAAAAGAAAUCAUUAGAAAUUAAUAAUACAAUAAAAUAAAACUUAAUAAAAUAAAAAUGAAUUAAACAAAAAAUUAUCAAUACAAUACAAAUAAAUAAAAUAAUUAGAAAUUAACAACACAACAAAAAUGAAUAAAAUAAAUAAAACCUAAUACAAUAAAAAUUUAUGAAAUAAUGAAAAUUAGCAAUACAAUAAAAAUGAAUGAAAUAAUUAAAAUUAACAAUACAAUAAAAAUGAUUAAAAUCAAUAAAGAUUGACAAUACAAUAACAAUUCAUCAAAUAAUGAAAAUUAACAAUACAAUAAAAAUGAAUGAAAUAGAAAAAAUAAUAACACAAGAAAAAGUCAUGAUUAACGAAAAUUAACAAUACAAUAAAAAUGAAAAAAAUGAAUAAAAAUGAAUGAAAUAAUGAAAAUUAACAAUACAAUGAAAAUGAAUAAAAUAAAUAAAAAUUACCAAUAAAAUAAAAAUUGUUAAAAUCAAUAAUAAUUGACAAUACAAUAAAAAGGACUAAAAUACAUAAAAUUACCAAUACAAUAAAAAUUAAUGAAAUAAUGGAAAUUACCAAAACAAUAAAAAUUAAUAGAAUAAAAUAAAAAAAAUUACCAAUACAAUAAAAUUAAAUGAAAAAAUUAAUAAUACAAUAAAAAUAAAUAAAAGUUUUUACAAUAAAAAUAAAUAAAAUAAAUAAAAAUUCAUGAAUGAAAAUUAACACUACAAUAAAAAUUUUUUAAAUCAACACAAAUUGACAACACAAUAAAAAUGACAAAAAUAAUGAAAAUUAUCAAUACAACAAAAAUGAAUAAAGUCAAUAAAAAUUUACAAUACAAUAAAAAUCAUUAAAAUAAAUAGAACAAAAGAUAAAAAUUCAUGAAAUAAUGAAAAUUAACAGUACAAUAAAAAUGAAUAAAAUCAAUAAAAAAUUAAUGAAAUAAUGAAAAUUAACAAUACAAUAAAAAUGAUUAAAAUAAAUAAAAAACAAUAAAAUAAAAAAUAUUAAAAUCAAUAAAAAUUGACAUUACAAUAAAAAUUAAAUAAAUAAGUAAAAAUUAAGAAUACAAUAGAAAUUAAUAAAAGAGUGUUGGAAUUUACGUGACACGAACCGUCUCGAACUUGUAGAUGGAGGAAAUUAUAUCUCAAACCACGGCGUACUUGCUGAUUCGCAAAGUAUAAAGUAUUAAGUAAAAAUGCGAAAAUUUUCAUCCGUCAAAGGCUUUCAACCCCUACAAUUAAAAGGAACCAAAUAAAUAAAAAUUAGCAAUUCAAUAAAAAGAAAUAAAAUAUAAAUUAACAGUACAAUAAAAAUGAAUAAAAUAAACUGAAAUUAACAAUUCAAUAAAAACAAAUAAAAUAAACAGAAAUUAACAAUUCAAUAAAAACAAAUAAAAUAAACAGAAAUUAACAAUAUAAUAAAAAUUAAUAAAAUAAAUUUAAAUUUAUUAUACAAUAAAAAUUAACAAUAAUGCUUUUCCUCAACAACAUCUCCAUGACUGAAACACAUUGUGGCCAGAACGUUCCACCUUUGUUAAUAUAUCAUAUUAGAUGAACAUUUUAUAAAAAUCACCAGAGGCCUCACUCACAAUUGGAAAACACUCUUUAAAUGUUGUUUUGAGAACGUUCCUACUUUGUAAUCAUAGAACAUAAUCUGUGUUUCUGACUACAUCUUCUGAAUGUUGACGCUAAAAGAAUCAUAUUAACUUUACAGGAACAUUACUUCAAAUGAAAAUAUUUGUAAAACAUAGUUUAAACACUAGAAUAAAACAUGAUUAGAACCUGCAGCUAAUGUUAUCCAGAGUGGUGGGAACGUUCUCCUGUGGAGCUUCAGAACUUCACCCUUCACUAUGUUUCAUGUUUCAGAAUGGGAAGCGCCUUUAUAGAAGUGGCAGGAAGUGGAUUCAGGCUGAUCCUGGUUCUGGAGAGACCGGUUCCCUCCGGAGGGCAGCGGAGGUUUGCUGGAGGAGGCGGAGGCCAAGCCUCCAUCCAGCCGUCCGUGGAAAGGGGAUCUCUCUUUGAAUUGCCUUUCCCGAGGUUUCUUCCCAUCUUCCAUGGGGAGUUUUUUCUCGUCUUCAUAGAGAGCUUGGGCUGGAUCAAGACCUCCUCAAAAAUAAAACUUCAUUAUAAUAAAUAACACAUCAUUAUAGAUUAUUUCCGGAUUACAUUUAAAGUUACAUCCUGGUUAAUAAGUUGUUUACACAAAACCAAGUUGAGCUGCACAUUUUAGAGGACAUUGUACGUUUAUUAUAUAACGUAUUAAAGAGCUACUUUACAGAUUCAGAUUAAUAAUUCAAAAUAUGACCAAAAAAUAAGUUCUGGUGUAUUAUUAGAUGCUUUUUUUUCCCCUAGUGGAAAUUCACAAGAUGUAAAAUAAAUAUAAAUUGAAGCCAGCCUCGGCUUUACCAGCUGCAAAAUUAAAGUUAUCUACAUGCUAAUGCAUUUAAAAGGUGUAAUCCUGUUAUAUAAAAUACACUUUUACAAGUUAAUUAAAUUAGUUAAAUGCAUGGUUGCAAGAUUACAAGCCCAAGGUACUGAUUUAGCUAAACCUUUUAAGUUGCAAACAUUUAUUUAUGUUUAUAUUGUUUUGACAUAAUAAUGUUUCACCAACUUAAUAUUGUGAAUAAUUUAAAAUUGGAUUUUUUGCUGGAGUUGAUUUAAAACUAAAUUCAAAUUGAAGUAACUUCAAUCUUCAGUCUGUUCAGACUUCCGUGGAGAGUGACUCCAACGAGUUUAGCCUAUUUUUGUCAGGCUUUGCCGUCUGGCAGAGCCGUAUCUAUUUGUUGAAAGCAGAGGAUCUGUGCUUGACGGGGGUUUGGGUGGUGCUCGGUGGAGCUUGUGGGCGGAGUCAGUGAGGACUUCACCAGGGGGUUGGGCCCGGGCAGCAAAAGGUCAGGGGUCAUCGCUUCUCGGCCUUUUGGCUAAGAUCAAAUGUAGGAUCUGUUCUUAUCAGUUUAAUAUCUGAUACGUCCUCCAAUGUGAGGACUAUAUAUUAAAUGGAUUUUUAGCACUGGGAGCUGAAAGAGGGGUUUGCUCCUUUCACUCCACGCAUCGACCUGGUACUGCAGUGCUGCCAGGAAUGGUGCAUCCUUCUCUGGCCUUGUAGAAUGGAAAUAAAACAAGCUAAUAACAACGCUCUGGCAGAUUGGGCAGUGACCACCAAAGCUGUCAAACAAAGCCAGCAGCACCAGCUGCUUCUGUGGCGUCGUCAUGCUUAUGCAACUCAGUUUGAAGAGAGAGUGGUUUUCUUCUUGGCUGCAGACGGCAAAGGUCUUCAGUCACACUAUCCAAGUCAGAUCUUUCUGCACGGGUUUCAGCGAGUUGGAGAAAGAACAGAAGGGUCGAACGGUGAGCUUUCAGUCACACUAUGGUCUCACAAUGGGUGGAAGUGCAAAAGUAGCUGCUUGGUGGCUCGUGGCCGUUCCACCAUCAGCACUGAGAACACACACAGCCACACAAUUCUGGAAACACAAUGGUGAGACCGGUGAAAGUGAAAAAUGGCUCCUCAAAUGCAGCACAGUACAGGACAAGGCAGCCUGGUGUCACGUUGCGCACAACAAAGCAAGCAUCAUUCUUGCAAAUUCCUUGUCCGUACCCUAGCAGUGGUUGUUCCUUGAGGACAGCGUUGCUCACGGCAGUUAUCCUGUGUGAAAGCUACAUUUGAAACGUUCUUUCUUGACUCAGUUGAGUUCAGUGAAGUGGCCAGAAAAUGUGGCCAGACGUCCUGCGGACCUGUGGGUGGCCCGCUGUUGAGUAUCACUGGGCUCCCACAGUGUCAGGCUGAUUGGAUGAAGCUUCAGUGUGUUGUAUUGUAUGUCUUUAAGGAUGUUUUUAUUUGAGUCAUUUUGUGGUUUAUUUUAUUUUCCAUCUAUUUAUGUUGUUUAUUGUUUUAUUUAGUUAAUUUUGUUUCACUUAUUGGCUAUUUCUGUCUCAUUUAACAUCUCUGUAUUUCAUUUUGGCCUAUUCAUGUUUCAUUCUGCUAAUUUACCUCUUGAUUUUUUUGUCCAUUUUAAUAAUUUUGUGGCUCAUAUUUGGCCAUUUCGCACCUCUUAAUUACCUUUUUUGUUCUACUUUGUUACUUUUGUUGUAUAUUUUGUUUAUUUUAUAUCCCAUUUUGAUCAUUUUGUGUUUAAUUUUGGCCAUGUUGUUUCUCAGUUUGAUCCUUUUCUAUCUUUCCAUGUUGUUUUUAGUUCCAUUUUGGUCAUUUUGCAUGUGUUCAUGGAUUCUAAUUUUCCAUGUUGGACAUUUUACCCACUUCAGUCAUUUUAUAUGGUUUUAUGUGAUUGUUCUUGUCCCAUAUGGGUGAUUUUGUGCCUCCCUGUGUCUCCACACUUGUGGAAACAAAUCUCACAAACAAAUCAAGCCCUUGUCCUGUAACUUUGUCCUGUGCAGAGACCAUCAGCGACCCUUUAGAGGGCUGCAGUCAGUGAGGAGAGAAGAGGAAAGCUGCUGAUGCUGCUGAAGCUCCAACUAAAAAGAGGAGUCUUCAACUGGUGGAGGACAGAGUAGAGCUGUCAGAAGAGGAACAAAGAGCCCAAUUCGACAGCAAAUACGAGCAGCAGCAUCAGCUCAGAGAAGGAGGUUGUGGGUCCGUGUUCGCCGGCCGCCGCAAAUCAGACAGUUUGCUGGUAAGAUAUGAAGAAGCACUUGUAAUGUGGUUGUGUACAGCUUUUUACAAAACAUGAGAGGUUUGGUUCCUGUUUGAAGCUGAAAUGUUUCAUGUCAGAAAAUACUAAGCAAAAGCUAGUAAUUUCCUGGAACUGGGUUUUUCUUGGUUAUGAAAAUAAGAAUUAAGAAGAAAAAAAUCAAGCUUACACGAGAGACUCUCGCUGAACUCCUAGAUAUAGACUCUACUAGCCUUCAAUCAGAGGCUGAUCUUAUAGGAUACAGUUCAUUUACUGGUUGUUUAACGUAAGUUUUGGCUCCGUAUGUUUUUAAUACUGUGCAUAUCGGUGGAGAAAUAUUUUUUAGAAACAAAUAAUCUGAUGCUAUAGACAGGGGCGGAUCCAGAUUAAUUUUAGUUGGGGGGGCACAACAGAUAUUUUGGGAGGGUCACUGAAAAGUUGUAAGAAAAAAUUAAAGCUGCUACCGACCUCUCACUUUUACAAAAUAUUUUUCAUGUUUUUAUUUGCUCUUUAACCCAGUAGCACUGGUUGUUUAUUUUAUCACACUGGCUGUUUAUUUUAUCACACUGGUUGUUUAUUUUAUCGCACUGGCUGUGUAUUUCGUCGCACUGGCUGUUUAUUUUGUCGCACUGGCUGUUUAUUUUAUUGCACUGGCUGUUUAUUUUAUCACACUGGUUGUUUAUUUUAUCACACUGGCUGUUUAUUUUAUCGCACUGGCUGUUUAUUUUAUGGUACUGGUUGUAUAUUUUACCGCACUGGCUGUUUAUUUUAUGGUACUGGCAGUUUAUUUCGUCGCACUGGCUGUUUAUUUCGUCACACUGGUAGUUUAUUUCGUCGCACUGGCCGUUUAUUUUAUCACACUGGCUGUUUAUUUUAUCACACUGGCUGUUUAUUUUAUCGCACUGGCUGUUUAUGUUAUGGUACUGGCUGUUUAUUUUAUGGUACUGGUUGUAUAUUUUAUCGCACUGGCUGUUUAUUUUAUCACACUGGCUGUUUAUUUUAUCACACUGGCUGUUUAUUUUAUCGCACUGGCUGUUUAUGUUAUGGUACUGGCUGUUUAUUUUAUGGUACUGGUUGUAUAUUUUAUCGCACUGGCUGUUUAUUUUAUGGUACUGGCAGUUUAUUUCGUCGCACUGGCUGUUUAUUUCGUCACACUGGCUGUUUAUUUCGUCACACUGGCUGUUUAUUUCGUCACACUGGCUGUUUAUUUUAUCGCGCUGGUUGUUUAUUUUUUUCAAACAAGUUGUAUUUUUUUGAACUGGCUGUUUAUUUUUUGCAUACUAAUUGUUUAUUUCGUCGCUUUAUAUUUUGUUUAUAAAAUAUUAAUAUUAUUUGCUCUUCAUGGGUUAAAGUGGGAUCUGUGACGAGGCAGAUCAGUAUUUUAUUAUUAUUUAUAUUUCACUGAAAUUCCUGUCAUGUAGAAAAAUAGAAACAUCUUUGCAUGGAUUCAGCUAAACUAACUGCAGACACUUAGAGGUGUAAAGUGAAAUAAAUCCUGUUUUCACAGAC